AUACUCUUUCGGGGCGGGGCGAAAUUCCCCACCGGCGGUGACGGCCUUUUGUAUGUGCAAAAGACCGAAGUCCGUGACCCGGUCGGUUUCCUAUACAAGAAACCGACCGGCUGACCUGGUGCGAUUCCGGGACCGACAGUUAAAGUCUGGAUGGGAGAAAGAGAAA
rnacentral:ncRNA from 2 species